rfam:Nasonia vitripennis chromosome 1, whole genome shotgun sequence.
CAACCGGCCCUUUUCAGGGCCAUCAAAUUUUUUUCAAACGUAAAG